GCAACGGUGCCAAAAACUUGUUCACGGAUUGGCAAACGUACCACUCGUUCAAGUAAUAUAAUUGGAGUAACCCAAUAUCGUUCUUCCCAAGAGACUCGAAAGGCUUUCUCGUUCACGUGAAUUAAAAUAAUAAGACUUGAAAAUAAAAAUAAUUAAUUUGGUUUGAGAACAAAAAUAUUAACAUGCAAAAGAGAUUGAUUCAAAUGACAAGGAGAAAACAAUGGAUGAAUGAAGUUGUUGGGGGUUUACAAUUUCAUCAUUAUCCGCUCUCUCUUAUCUACUCCUCUUGAAUUAUUAGUUUGAUUAAUUAAUUGUCAUGCAACUUUCUUAGCCUACCCUUAACCCGAUCCCUCGGCGAAAAGAGCCUAAUAUUAACUACUGGCU
rnacentral:lncRNA from 1 species